rnacentral:rRNA from 1 species
GUUUACAGUGAUGUCAUCCUGAACACGUCUGAUCUCAUCUAUCUUGGAAAGCAGGGUAACACAGGGUCAAGCCCAGUUACUGCUUGGAUGGGAGACCACUUGUGAAUACUGAGGGAGCUGUAGACU